CUGGCAUUCCAGACGGAUGUGCAUGCUCUUUAUUUCCUUUCUGGUGAUGGGUUCCCAAAACAUACCUCCCCCUGAAUUUGGCCAUGCCCAUUUUCCAGAGUUUGGGGGCUAAAACAAGAAAAGGCAUUCCAGAAGGGUAGCAAGACCUAUCACAUGCUGACAAAGGAUGGCAGAGGGGACAAUAGGAGGAAACUGUGAGACAGGCUAGCUGAUGGCUGUCCUGGCAGGAGCUUGGCCUCUGGCCAAGCUCCAUCUUUUUUCUCCAUCACCUCUCUGACCUGUGUGGUAUUAAAUGUAGAUCUCUGGACUGGUAAAAGCCUUCGGAAGGGUCCUUUGAUCAGAGCUUAGCUGUGGCUCAUGGAAAAUUAAUAAAGACUCACUCCUGCCACCUCAUAUCUCUAAUUUGACUCCGUCAUCCCCCUCAUGGUAUCUAAAACUUCUAUCCUGUCUCUAUCUUCCUACCUUAAAGCUUCUCUCCCCUCUGAGGAAGCUUUAUGUUAGAAAAAAUACUGUGUAUUGGUUCCAAGGCAGAAGAGUGGUAAGGGCUAGGCAAUUGGGGGUUAAGUGACUUACCCAGGAUCACACAGCUCUGUAGCCUAGCUUUCUAACACUUACUACCUGUGUUUCCUUGGGCACACAUCCUUUUCCUUCUCUCUGACCCAAAUUGCUAUUUUCUUCAUACG